rnacentral:tRNA from 1 species
CAGAAGGUAGUUUAAGUAAAAAAAUGCCAGUUUUGGGGAUUGGUGAUAAGGCAGGUGUCUUUCCUUCUGA